UGCUUAAUUGUCUUUCUGACUGCUGAAAGCAACAUGAAAAAUGCAUUUCACAGGCUUGGAAAGCU